GAUGAACGCUGGCGGCGUGCCUAAUACAUGCAAGUCGAGCGAACAGACGAGGAGCUUGCUCCUCUGACGUUAGCGGCGGACGGGUGAGUAACACGUGGAUAACCUACCUAUAAGACUGGGAUAACUUCGGGAAACCGGAGCUAAUACCGGAUAAUAUAUUGAACCGCAUGGUUCAAUAGUGAAAGACGGUUUUGCUGUCACUUAUAGAUGGAUCCGCGCCGCAUUAGCUAGUUGGUAAGGUAACGGCUUACCAAGGCAACGAUGCGUAGCCGACCUGAGAGGGUGAGCGGACACAGGGGAACUGAGACGCGGCACAGACUCCUACGAGAGGCAGCAGUAGAGAAUCGUCCGAAAUGGGCGAGAGUCUGACAGAGCAACGGCGCGUGAGAGAUGAAGGUCUGCGGAGCGUAAAACUCUGUUAAGAGGGAAAAACAAAUGUGUAAGUAAAUAUGCACGUCGAGACGGCACAUAAACAGAAAGCCACGGCUAACUACG
rnacentral:rRNA from 1 species